rnacentral:tRNA from 1 species
AUCUAAAUAGUUUAAGGGUAAAAUGUUGGUUUGUGGUGCCAGUGAUAUAUGUAUAUUAUUUUAGAUU